AUUUUCUGAGUACAUGCAAUACGGUUGACUUCCAAUCAACAGACUCUGGUGAAAUCCAGAAGAAAAUA
rnacentral:tRNA from 1 species